UACGGAGGGUGCGAGCGUUGUCCGGAAUCACUGGGCGUAAAGGGCGCGUAGGUGGCGCGGGCAGUCAACGGUGAAAGUUCGGGGCUCAACCCUGAAUCGGCCGUCGAUACUCCCGGGGCUUGAGCACUGUAGAGGCAGAUGGAAUUCCGGGUGUAGCGGUGGAAUGCGUAGAGAUCCGGAAGAACACCGGUGGCGAAGGCGGUCUGCUGGGCAGUAGCUGACACUGAGGCGCGACAGCGUGGGGAGCAAACAGG
rnacentral:rRNA from 1 species